AAAAACUGCGUAGGAGAUCAUUAAUACAAAAGUAUUAUAUAAACCAAACCUGAUGUUGCCAGCUCCUUCAAUGAAUGCAGCAGUGUGACAGCCAGCAAUCAAAAGUAACAAGAUAUCGAGGAAAUGCAGAAGGCAAAAAACUGCAUAGGAGAUCAUUAAUACAAUAGUAUUAUAUAAACCAAGCCUGAUGUUGGCCGCUCAUUCAAAGAAUGCAGCAGUGUGACAGCCAGCAAUCAAAAGUAACAAGAUGUCGAGGAAAUGCAGAGUGCAAUAAACUUUGUAGGAGAUUAUGAUUGCAAUAGAAUAAAAUCGACCAAGCCUGAAGUUCUUCAAUGCACGCAGCAGUGUGACAGCCAGCAAUCAAAAGUUACAAGAUAUCGAGGAGAUUAUGAUUGCAAUAAAAUAAAAUCGACCAAGCCUGAAGUUCUUCAAUGCACGCAGCAGUGUGACAGCCAGCAAUCAAAAGUUACAAGAUAUCGAGGAAAUGCAGAAGGCAAAAAACUGCGUAGGAGAUUAUUAAUACAAUAGUAUUAUAUCAACCAAGCCUGAUGUCGGUAGCUUCUUCAAUGAAUGCAGCAGUGUGACAGCCAGCAAUCAAUAGUGAUAGUGACAAGAAUCUAGGAAAUACAGAAGGCAAAGAAGCAGAUGUCAUCAAAGAAGAUCUUUGUUCCUGCAAUGUUUCCGCAGACGAUACAUCCAACAGAGCGAAGUGGAAGGAAAAGACUCGGAAAAAAGACCCCACCACCAUAUGGGAACAAUGCAAGGGAGAGAGAGAGAAUAUAAUUUUAUAUUUUUAUUUUUUGAUAACAUAAAAUAAACCAACAAUAUCCUACACAUUUUUUUUAUUUCUUUUUGUGUCUGUCUUAAUAGUUAUUACAAAUCUGUGAUGCGAAACAAACUAUACGAAAACGUCAAUCCACGUACAACGCCCGCGAAGCUGCUUUAG